rnacentral:rRNA from 1 species
CGUUAGCGGCGGGCCUAACACAUGCAAGUCGAACGCGAAAGGUCUUCGGACUGAGUAGAGUGGCGCACGGGUGAGUAACACGUAGGUAAUCUACCCUUUGGCGGGGGAUAACGUUCCGAAAGGAGCGCUAAUACCGCAUAAGACCACGGAGUCUCCGGACGCUGUGGGAAAAGGUGGCCUCUUCUUGAAAGCUAUCACCGAAGGAUGAGCCUGCGUCCCAUCAGCUAGUUGGUAAGGUAAUGGCUUACCAAGGCGAAGACGGGUAGCUGGUUUGAGAGAAUGAUCAGCCACACUGGCACUGGAACACGGGCCAGACUCCUACGGGAGGCAGCAGUGAGGAAUAUUGGGCAAGGGGCGAAAGCCUGACCCAGCCACGCUGCGUGAGUGAUGAAGGCCCUCGGGUCGUAAAGCUCUGUGGAGAGGGACGAAAACCCUGGUUUCAAAUAGGCUCCAGGCUUGACGGUACCUCUUUAGCAAGCACCGGCUAACUCUGUG